UGGGGAAUUUUGGACAAUGGGCGCAAGCCUGAUCCAGCUAUUCCGCGUGUGGGAUGAAGGCCCUCGGGUUGUAAACCACUUUUGUAGAGAACGAAAAGACACCUUCGAAUAAAGGGUGUUGCUGACGGUACUCUAAGAAUAAGCACCGGCUAACUACGUGCCAGCAGCCGCGGUAAUACGUAGGGUGCGAGCGUUAAUCGGAAUUACUGGGCGUAAAGGGUGCGCAGGCGGUUGAGUAAGACAGAUGUGAAAUCCCCGAGCUUAACUCGGGAAUGGCAUAUGUGACUGCUCGACUAGAGUGUGUCAGAGGGAGGUGGAAUUCCACGUGUAGCAGUGAAAUGCGUAGAUAUGUGGAAGAACACCGAUGGCGAAGGCAGCCUCCUGGGACAUAACUGACGCUCAGGCACGAAAGCGUGGGGAGCAAACA
rnacentral:rRNA from 1 species